ACAGCCAUAUCAUAUUGAAAUACUGGUUCUCAUACAAUCACUGAAGUUAAGCAACAUCAAACCUGGUCAGUAUCUAAAUGGGUGACCACUUGGGAAUACCAGGCGCUGUAUG